rnacentral:rRNA from 1 species
UCCCCCAGUAACGGCGAGUGAAGGGGGAAAAGCCCAGCAUCGAAGCCUAUGCUCAAUUGGGUGUAAGGCAAUGUGAUGUUAUGGGGUAUGCCUGGAGUCAUUGGUCAACUCGAAGUCCGAUAUUGAAGGUGGCUUAUAUAUAAGUCCCAAAGCGGGUGACAGGCCCGUGCGAGUUGAUUCAGUGGCUUCUAGAUGCAUGCCCUGUGGAGUCGGAUUGCUUGAGAAUGCAGUCCAAAGUUCGUGGUAAACUCCAUGAGAGGCUAAAUACCUGGCACGAGUCCGAUAGCAAACAAGUACCGUGAGGGAAAGUUGAAAAGUACUCUGAAGAGAGAGUAAAUAGUACGUGAAACCACAUACAGGUAAACGGGUGGAGUCCAGCUGCGUGUUGUGGGGACUUAGCUGGUGUGUGCAUAUGCAGAUGCAUUAAACUUUCACGUGUGGCUUGCUUAUAAUGGCAAAUUAGGCUCACGCCUAAUUCACGUUCCGUCAUGUAGACGGUGUGGGCUGCGCGUGGUAUCUGUUUGCAUGCCGGUGAUUUCCUCAUGACUGACAUCACAGUCAAUACAGCCGCUUGUGUGUGAUGAUCAAACCGUAGUGUAGUGGGCCUUGAAGUUCACUCACUUUGUGGAUGGCAGGUCGUUUGACUAUUUGCCUUGUGUAAAUGGUUCAAACAUAAUUAUGGUUGCGGCCAGCCGAUCAUCAUGCUGUUAAAAGCUUGCUUACAUUUAACUAUGCGGUGUAUUGGUUAUGAGUGUGCCAACCAAAUGGCGUUGCUAUCAGACUGGCUUACGGGAAGUUAUGUGUAAAAGCGUGCUUGUCGUAUAGCUAUAGUGUGUGUAGUGAUGUUGUGAGGUCACGUUCUGGCAU